rnacentral:rRNA from 1 species
AAAGCGCGCGUAGGUGGUUUGUUAAGUUGGAUGUGAAAUCCCCGGGCUCAACCUGGGAACUGCAUUCAAAACUGACUGACUAGAGUAUGGUAGAGGGUGGUGGAAUUUCCUGUGUAGCGGUGAAAUGCGUAGAUAUAGGAAGGAACACCAGUGGCGAAGGCGACCACCUGGACUAAUACUGACACUGAGGUGCGAAAGCGUGGGGAGCAAACAGGAUUAGAUACCCGUGU